rnacentral:lncRNA from 1 species
UGAUACUGCACUUUUAUCUGAGCCAAAGCUUACCUGGCCAUCCUUCAGAUUUGCCAUUCUUCCCGACUCCACAGGAUAGGAGCAGAAAUUCGAGCCCGGGUGCUGCUUUUGUGCACAGUUUGUGGCCUCUCUCUUAACUCCGUUCCUUAGCAGAAAGAAAGAAUUCAGUCUGGACUCAUUUCUUCAAGUGGUUUCGACUUCCUAUUAUCUGGAUUUGAUCCAUCACUUAUGUCAGAUCAACUAAGCCUGGUCCAUCAUGGUUACAAAGUGCCCAGCCUGGCACCAUGCAUGGUAUGCGGAGACCAAAGCCAAGGGGCUGUUUUCCUGCGGGAAUUUACACUGAUUCGAAGAGAGAGCCUCCAUGAAGAUUUCCUGUCUGACCUCUUGAAUAGUCACAAAACUGAAGACUCG